AGUGAACGCUGGCGGUAGGCCUAACACAUGCAAGUCGAACGGCAGCACAGUAAGAGCUUGCUCUUACGGGUGGCGAGUGGCGGACGGGUGAGGAAUACAUCGGAAUCUACUUUUUCGUGGGGGAUAACGUAGGGAAACUUACGCUAAUACCGCAUACGACCUACGGGUGAAAGCAGGGGAUCUUCGGACCUUGCGCGAUUGAAUGAGCCAAUGUCGGAUUAGCUAGUUGGCGGGGUAAAGGCCCACCAAGGCGACGAUCCGUAGCUGGUCUGAGAGGAUGAUCAGCCACACUGGAACUGAGACACGGUCCAGACUCCUACGGGAGGCAGCAGUGGGGAAUAUUGGACAAUGGGCGCAAGCCUGAUCCAGCCAUACCGCGUGGGUGAAGAAGGCCUUCGGGUUGUAAAGCCCUUUUGUUGGGAAAGAAAAGCAGCAGGUUAAUACCCCGCUGUUCCGACGGUACCCAAAGAAUAAGCACCGGCUAACUUCGUG
rnacentral:rRNA from 1 species